rnacentral:rRNA from 1 species
UGGGGAAUACUGCACAAUGGGCGAAAGCCUGAUGCAGCAACGCCGCGUGAGUGAUGAAGGCCUUCGGGUUGUAAAGCUCUGUCUUUUGGGACGAUAAUGACGGUACCAAAGGAGGAAGCCACGGCUAACUACGUGCCAGCAGCCGCGGUAAUACGUAGGUGGCAAGCGUUGUCCGGAUUUACUGGGCGUAAAGGAUGCGUAGGCGGAUUUUUAAGUGAGAUGUGAAAUACCCGGGCUUAACUUGGGUGCUGCAUUUCAAACUGGGAAUCUAGAGUGCGGGAGAGGAGAAUGGAAUUCCUAGUGUAGCGGUGAAAUGCGUAGAGAUUAGGAAGAACACCAGUGGCGAAGGCGAUUCUCUGGACCGUAACUGACGCUGAGGCAUGAAAGCGUGGGUAGCAAACAGGAUUAGAUACCCUGGUAGUCCACGCCGUAAACGAUGAGUACUAGGUGUAGGAGGUAUCGACCCCUUCUGUGCCGCAGUUAACACAAUAAGUACUCCGCCUGGGAAGUACGAUCGCAAGAUU